GUGGACGUCAGAUUCUUAAUUUAGGAAGUGGAUGUUGGAACCUCGGAAUAAUACUUCACGAAUUAGGCCACGUUAUUGGCUUCUAUCACGAACAUAAUCGACCGGAUCGUGAUAAAUAUAUUAAAAUUUUGUGGAAUAAUAUUGAAGAAGAACAUAAGAGUUCGUUUCUGAUGUACGAUAAGAACUUCUUGAGAAUAUGUGACCAUUAUAGUUACGAUAGCAUUAUGCAUUAUGGUCCUAAAUCCUUCGCUAAAUAUGGUAAAAUAAGUUUAAUGCCAACUCUUCCAAAUGUUACCAUUAAAGAAAUUUACGAAUGGGACUCUCUGUUACAAUCCGACAUUGAAUGUAUUAACAAGUUAUAUGAAUGCGAAUAAAUUCUGUUGUAAAUAUAUAGCCUAAAUAAAAUUUAGUUCAUUAUCUGAA